GACGAACGCUGGCGGCGUGCUUAACACAUGCAAGUCGAGCGGUAAGGCCUUUUUCGGAGGUACACGAGCGGCGAACGGGUGAGUAACACGUGAGCAACCUACCCUUCACUUCGGGAUAAGCCUCGGAAACGGGGUCUAAUACCGGAUAUCACUUCGGGUUUCAUGACCUGGGGUUGAAAGUUCUGGCGGUGGGGGAUGGGCUCGCGGCCUAUCAGCUUGUUGGUGGGGUAAUGGCCUACCAAGGCGUCGACGGGUAGCCGGCCUGAGAGGGCGACCGGCCACACUGGGACUGAGACACGGCCCAGACUCCUACGGGAGGCAGCAGUGGGGAAUAUUGCGCAAUGGACGAAAGUCUGACGCAGCAACGCCGCGUGA
rnacentral:rRNA from 1 species